rnacentral:rRNA from 1 species
AUUGAACGCUGGCGGCAUGCCUUACACAUGCAAGUCGAACGGUAACAGGUCUUCGGAUGCUGACGAGUGGCGAACGGGUGAGUAAUACAUCGGAACGUGCCUAGUAGUGGGGGAUAACUACUCGAAAGAGUGGCUAAUACCGCAUGAGAUCUACGGAUGAAAGCAGGGGAUCGCAAGACCUUGUGCUACUAGAGCGGCCGAUGGCAGAUUAGGUAGUUGGUGGGAUAAAAGCGUACCAAGCCGACGAGCUGUAGCUGGUCUGAGAGGACGAUCGGCCACACUGGGACUGAGACACGGCCCAGACUCCUACGGGAGGCAGCAGUGGGGAAUUUUGGACAAUGGGCGCAAGCCUGAUCCAGCAAUGCCGCGUGCAGGAUGAAGGCCUUCGGGUUGUAAACUGCUUUUGUACGGAACGAAAAGCCCUGGGUUAAUACCCUGGGGUCAUGACGGUACCGUAAGAAUAAGCACCGGCUAACUACGUGCCAGCAGCCGCCGCCGUAA